rnacentral:rRNA from 1 species
GAUGAACGCUGGCGGCGUGCCUAAUACAUGCAAGUCGAGCGAACGGACGAGAAGCUUGCUUCUCUGAUGUUAGCGGCGGACGGGUGAGUAACACGUGGAUAACCUACCUAUAAGACUGGGAUAACUUCGGGAAACCGGAGCUAAUACCGGAUGAUAUUUUGAACCGCAUGGUUCAAAAGUGAAAGACGGUCUUGCUGUCACUUAUAGAUGGAUCCGCGCUGCAUUAGCUAGUUGGUAAGGUAACGGCUUACCAAGGCAACGAUGCAUAGCCGACCUGAGAGGGUGAUCGGCCACACUGGAGCUGAGACACGGUCCAGACUCCUACGGGAGGCAGCAGUAGGGAAUCUUCCGCAAUGGGCGAAAGCCUGACGGAGCAACGCCGCGUGAGUGAUGAAGGUCUUCGGAUCGUAAAACUCUGUUAUUAGGGAAGAACAUAUGUGUAAGUAACUGUGCACAUCUUGACGGUACCUAAUCAGAAAGCCACGGCUAACUACGUGCCAGCAGCCGCGGUAAUACGUAGGUGGCAAGCGUUAUCCGGAAUUAUUGGGCGUAAAGCGCGCGUAGGCGGUUUUUUAAGUCUGAUGUGAAAGCCCACGGCCCAACCGUGGAGGGUCAUUGGAAACUGGAAAACUUGAGUGCAGAAGAGGAAAGUGGAAUUCCAUGUGUAGCGGUGAAAUGCGCAGAGAUAUGGAGGAACACCAGUGGCGAAGGCGACUUUCUGGUCUGUAACUGACGCUGAUGUGCGAAAGCGUGGGGAUCAAACAGGAUUAGAUACCCUGGUAGUCCACGCCGUAAACGAUGAGUGCUAAGUGUUAGGGGGUUUCCGCCCCUUAGUGCUGCAGCUAACGCAUUAAGCACUCCGCCUGGGGAGUACGACCGCAAGGUUGAAACUCAAAGGAAUUGACGGGGACCCGCACAAGCGGUGGAGCAUGUGGUUUAAUUCGAAGCAACGCGAAGAACCUUACCAAAUCUUGACAUCCUUUGACAACUCUAGAGAUAGAGCCUUCCCCUUCGGGGGACAAAGUGACAGGUGGUGCAUGGUUGUCGUCAGCUCGUGUCGUGAGAUGUUGGGUUAAGUCCCGCAACGAGCGCAACCCUUAAGCUUAGUUGCCAUCAUUAAGUUGGGCACUCUAAGUUGACUGCCGGUGACAAACCGGAGGAAGGUGGGGAUGACGUCAAAUCAUCAUGCCCCUUAUGAUUUGGGCUACACACGUGCUACAAUGGACAAUACAAAGGGCAGCGAAACCGCGAGGUCAAGCAAAUCCCAUAAAGUUGUUCUCAGUUCGGAUUGUAGUCUGCAACUCGGCUACAUGAAGCUGGAAUCGCUAGUAAUCGUAGAUCAGCAUGCUACGGUGGAUACGUUCCCGGGUCU